rnacentral:rRNA from 1 species
UACGUAGGGUCCGAGCGUUGUCCGGAAUUAUUGGGCGUAAAGAGCUCGUAGGCGGUCUGUCGCGUCGAAUGUGAAAACCCGGGGCUCAACCCCGGGCCUGCAUUCGAUACGGGCAGACUAGAGUUCGGUAGGGGAGUCUGGAAUUCCUGGUGUAGCGGUGAAAUGCGCAGAUAUCAGGAGGAACACCGGUGGCGAAGGCGGGACUCUGGGCCGAUACUGACGCUGAGGAGCGAAAGCGUGGGGAGCAAACAGG